rnacentral:rRNA from 1 species
AUUGAACGCUAGCGGGAUGCUUUACACAUGCAAGUCGAACGAGUGGCGGACGGGUGAGUAAUAUAUCGGAACGUGCCCAGUAGAGGGGGAUAACUACUCGAAAGAGUGGCUAAUACCGCCUACUAUUGGCGAGGCCGGUAUCGGAUUAGCUAGUUGGUGGGGUAAAGGCUCACCAAGGCCACGAUCCGUAGCUGGUCUGAGAGGACGACCAGCCACACUGGUACUGAGACACGGCCCAGACUCCUACGGGAGGCAGCAGUGGGGAAUAUUGGACAAUGGGGGAAACCCUGAUCCAGCCAUGCCGCGUGUAUGAGAAGGCCUUCGGGUUGUAAAGUACUUUCGGCAGGGAAGCGGUAUCCGCAGAAGAAGCACCGGCUAACUCCGUACCAGCAGCCGCGGUAAUUC